rnacentral:ncRNA from 1 species
GGUGGUGGUGCAUGGCUGUUCUCAGUUGGUGGAGCAACCUGUCUGGUUGUUUCUGAUGACAAAUGAGUCUCUGGAUUGCUAACUAGUGCAUAGAUUAGUGUUUUUCUGUUGACAUGGUUGUGCUGAAGCCAUCAAUGGUAGCUCCAUGUGUAACCUGGGCUUGCUAUUACCACAGCUCUCCUUUGAGUGUAGCAUUGCAGCGAUGUCCAGCUGCCCUCACUGGUGAUCAUGGCAUGGCUGCAACAUCAGUUGUGGAGCAGUAGCAGUAAUCCAGUUGACUCAGCCUGUGCAAACUUGGCAGUGGUACAUCACAUCCAGGUCAAUCAGUUGACAAAUGCAGCACUUCUCAGAGGGACAGGUGGAAGAAAACUGCACAAGGUGAAGCAGUAACAGGUUUGUGAUGCCCU